AUACCUUUCUCAACCUUUUGACUAAGAUAAAGUGUAAUGUUUGUUCCUAUUAGUUUAAUAUCUGAUAUGUGGACUAUAUGUUCACUUUGAUAUUGAAUUUAUUUUUUAUGAGUAUAAAAUAUGAUUGUGUGUCGUUGUAGUGCAUAGACAUUGUAAAAGAAAUAAUGCCCAAGUGCAAAGUAUU
rnacentral:snRNA from 1 species